rnacentral:rRNA from 1 species
AUUGAACGCUGGCGGCAUGCCUAACACAUGCAAGUCGAACGGGGUAGCAAUACCCAGUGGCGGACGGGUGAGGAAUACAUAGGAAUUUGCCUUUAGGUGGGGGAUAGCCCGGGGAAACUCGGAGUAAUACCGCAUGAUGUCGAAAGACCAAAGUAGGGGAUCGCAAGACCUUGCGCCUUUAGAGAAGCCUAUGUCUGAUUAGCUAGUUGGUAGGGUAAUGGCCUACCAAGGCGACGAUCGGUAACUGGUCUGAGAGGACGAUCAGUCACACCGGAACUGAGACACGGUCCGGACUCCUACGGGAGGCAGCAGUGGGGAAUAUUGGACAAUGGGCGAAAGCCUGAUCCAGCAAUGCCGCGUGUGUGAAGAAGGCCUUCGGUUGUAA